rnacentral:RNase_P_RNA from 2 species
UAAGUUAACCAGGUGAUCGCGGCCUUUUUGGCUGAGGAAAGUCCGAGCUCCACAGGACAGGAUGCUGGGUAAUUCCCAGUGGAGGUAACUCCCAGGAAAGUGCCACAGAAAUAUACCGCCUUAUUUUAAUAAGGUAAGGGUGAAAAGGUAAGGUAAGAGCUUACCAGGUUUCAGGUGACUGGAAUGCUAGGUAAACCCCAUCUGGAGUAAGUCCAAAUAGGGAGAAUGAGGAGUGGUCCGCUCUUCUCCGGGUAAGGACGCUCAAACUAAUAGGUAACUAUUAGUUAAGAUAGAUGAUCGCCUAAUACAGAACUCGGCUUACAGGUUAACUUAUUAU